GACGAACGCUGGCGGCGUGCCUAAUACAUGCAAGUAGAACGCACAGUUUAUACCGUAGCUUGCUACACCAUAGACUGUGAGUUGCGAACGGGUGAGUAACGCGUAGGUAACCUGCCUGGUAGCGGGGGAUAACUAUUGGAAACGAUAGCUAAUACCGCAUAAUAUUGAUUAUUGCAUGAUAAUUGAUUGAAAGAUGCUAUUGCAUCACUACCAGAUGGACCUGCGUUGUAUUAGCUAGUAGGUGAGGUAACGGCUCACCUAGGCGACGAUACAUAGCCGACCUGAGAGGGUGAUCGGCCACACUGGGACUGAGACACGGCCCGGACUCCUACGGGAGGCAGCAGUAGGGAAUCUUCGGCAAUGGACGAAAGUCUGACCGAGCAACGCCGCGUGAGUGAAGAAGGUUUUCGGAUCGUAAAGCUCUGUUGUAAGAGAAGAACGGGUGUGAGAGUGGAAAGUUCACACUGUGACGGUAUCUUACCAGAAAGGGACGGCUAACUACGUG
rnacentral:rRNA from 1 species